AAUAAGUACAGUUUUACACUAUUCACGUUCAACGUUUGACCGCCCGUCUUAUUUAUUUGAUUAGUAUUUUUAUUGCUAUUAGAUGAUAAAACAUGAAUAGUACUUUAUGUGUGACUAAAUAUUUUUAAUUUUUUCACAAAUUUUUAAAUAAAACGGACAGUCAAACGUUGGGCACGGAUAUUCACAGCUGCACUUAUU
rfam:Oryza rufipogon genomic scaffold, chr03